CCUACGGGAGGCAGCAGUAGGGAAUAUUGCUCAAUGGGGGAAACCCUGAAGCAGCAACGCCGCGUGGGGGAUGAAGGUUUUCGGAUUGUAAACCCCUUUUGUUAGAGAAGAUAAUGACGGUAUCUAACGAAUAAGCACCGGCUAACUCCGUGCCAGCAGCCGCGGUAAUACGUAGGGUGCAAGCGUUACUCGGAAUCACUGGGCGUAAAGAGCGCGUAGGCGGGAUAGCAAGUCAGAUGUGAAAUCCUAGGGCUUAACCAUAGAACUGCAUUUGAAACUGUUAUUCUAGAGUAUGGGAGAGGUAGGUGGAAUUCGUGGUGUAGGGGUGAAAUCCGUAGAGAUCAAGAGGAAUACUGAUUGCGAAGGCGACCUGCUAGAACAUAACUGACGCUGAUGCGCGAAAGCGUGGGGAGCAAACAGGAUUAGAUACCCCUGUAGUC
rnacentral:rRNA from 1 species